CCUACGGGUGGCAGCAGUGGGGAAUAUUGGACAAUGGGGGGAACCCUGAUCCAGCCAUGCCGCGUGUGUGAAGAAGGCCCUCGGGUUGUAAAGCACUUUCAGUGAGGAAGAACGCCUGGUGGUUAAUACCCAUCAGGAAAGACAUCACUCACAGAAGAAGCACCGGCUAACUCCGUGCCAGCAGCCGCGGUAAUACGGAGGGUGCGAGCGUUAAUCGGAAUUACUGGGCGUAAAGCGCGCGUAGGUGGCUUGAUAAGCCGGUUGUGAAAGCCCCGGGCUCAACCUGGGAACGGCAUCCGGAACUGUCAAGCUAGAGUGCAGGAGAGGAAGGUAGAAUUCCCGGUGUAGCGGUGAAAUGCGUAGAGAUCGGGAGGAAUACCAGUGGCGAAGGCGGCCUUCUGGACUGACACUGACACUGAGGUGCGAAGGCGUGGGUAGCAAACAGGAUUAGAUACCCUAGUAGUC
rnacentral:rRNA from 1 species